UCCCUGAAGGACUAGUGGUAGCCCACGGCGCUCACAUCACCACCGCCUGAGUUCAAUUCCCGGCCAGGGAA